UGGGAGAGGGAUAAGCAGGCUUCCCGCUGAGCAGGGAGCCAGAUGCAGGGCUCUAUCCCAGGACCCUGGGAUCAUGACCUGAGCCGAAGGCAGACGCUUAACGACUGAGCCACCCAGAUGCCCCUUUCUGACUCAUUUAAAUUGUUUGUUUAGAAGCCAUGGUACUCUGGAUUAAAUCUUUUUCAGUUUCCAUUGGAAUAACCCAAAUAUUUUCCUCCAUUAAAAUGGCAAUAACUGAGAAAAUGCCUCUCUUAAAAGAAGAGGAACUGCCACAAGGAGUUCAUAUUUCUACUUAAGGUGGAGCCCCCUCACACACUUCACACCAGUCACCGUGGUACUUGUGGAUUUGAAGACUGCUUUUCAGGCCUCCAGGCUGCUCCUCAAAGACUGCAAGCACAUUCUCAACCAAAGAUUUUGCCCCUGAUGAGCCUCCUGCUUGUCCUUCUUUGUUCAAAUAUUAAUUUGCAAUGAGGCCUUCCCUGAAGACUUGAUUUGAAAUGACAUUGCCUCUUCUCUUCCCUGCUGACUUCUUCUCCAUAGCACUUACCAUCAAUAGAUCCACCACAUUAUUGACUUAGUGAUGUUGAUGAUCAUGUCUUUCUACUAAAUGUGCCAGCAUUUUGAGGGCAGAGAUGUGCUUUAUUAUGUGUUAUUUCUACAGCACAGAAUAUUGUCUGCACACAGAGGGUCCUUGACUAUUAAACUAGCUAUCUUUUAUGAAGUCCUUAUCUUUAUUAUUUUUUUUUCUUAUUUGGGGGUCUAAUUUUUUUUUUCAGUGACUUUCUUUGGGUUUCCUUUCCUUCUGUUUUUCUGACUUCUUGGGCUUUAAUUACGUCUGUUACAUCAAGUACAUUAACUGAAUUGUCAAAAUGUUUCCUAUCCAUAUUCCCAAGGAGUACUGGUAGGACACUUUAUAGAAUGCCCUCCACUGGAAUUCGUCUGAUGUUUUCCUUAUAAUCAGACUGGAGAGUGAUACACCACAUACUUGAGGAGGAAGAUCUAUACACAAUUUUUUGGAAUUUUUCUGCACAGGGUAUUGAUCUCUCCUUCUCCAUACUUAUUCAAUAACUUACUUAUAUGGGUAAGGACUCAUGGAUAUUUAUUUUAUACUUUCGACUAGAAUAUUACACUGCAUUAUUUAUUGAGCUGCUCAAAUAUUCCAGCUUUGGCCGUUGGGAGUUCUUUCAGUUGACUCCUGGUGCCCCUUUGACAUACACCCAAAAAUGUGAGUUUACAUUUUUGUUGUUGUUGUUGUUGAGUACUUACUUCUGGCACAAGUUGCUUCAGGCAUAUUUUGUAUAUUCCCUGCUUCAGCCAUAAAAUCAGUCAUUUAUCUGAAGAGUCCUGGUUUCUUUUAGUGGAGAAUAAUAGUACAGUAAAUAUCUGGACACUGAAUGUGUUCAUACAAAUGGGGUAUGGUUCCUUCUAGGCUCUCUCAGCUGAUAUAGUAAGGGGAUAUAUGUGCAUAUACUAUUUCAUGUAUAUAUGUAUAUCUAUAUUUUUUCUAUAUGUGCACAUAUAUACCUAUAUCAAGCUAAACGUAAGUUGAUACUGAUAUAUUCAACUCCAGUCAAGUACCACACUGAUGAUUUUAGUCCCUUGCUUAUCUGUAACCUUGCACUCCAAUAGCAAGGAAACUGACUCUCACCUCUGUCAUUCAUUUACUUUGAUUCUAGUACAUAUAGUAAAAUGGUUCUGCUCUCAAUUUCCAAUGUGUGUGUGGGUUCCCCCAGACCACUAAGUAAUGCUGUAGACACCAGCUAGGUAUCCUAUAAUUUAUCUCAAUCCUAACACUAUCUACCCAGAGAUAGCUUCAGAUCCCACAGGUUAAGGGCUCAGUCCUACAAGAUUAUCCCCUCUUUGACUUCAGACACCAAAUGUAAGUCCAGGUUGUCACCUGUGCUUCUGACCCACCAGCUAUAGAUUGGAGGUUCCAACAAACCCCUCCUUGGGUUUGAUUAAUUUGUUAUAGCAGCUCACAGAACUCAAAAAAACAUUGUACUACUAGGUGGCUGGUUUAUUUUAAAAGAAUAUGAGAGAAAUGCCUAGGGCAAGGUAUGUGGGAAGGUGUGGCGCUUUCAUGCCCUCUCCAGAUACCACUCUUGCAGAAUCUCCACAUGUUCACCAACACAGAAGCUCUACAAACACCAUCCUUUGGGUUUGCACAGAGGCUUCAUUACCUAUACAUGAUUGAUUAAAUCACUGGGCAUUAGUGAUUGAAAUCAAUCUCCAACUCCUCUAGCCUCCCAGGAGGUUGGGCAUGGGAUUGACAGGUCCAACUCUCUAAUCACAUGGCUGGUUGCAAAAAUGGGCACAAAGACCAAAUAUGUUUCUUAUCAUAAAUCACAAUAUCACACAUGGUUAGAGGUUUCAGAAUUGUUAACCUGUAGUCCAGGGGGAAUCAACUUGACCAAGUAGACUGCUUUGUGUACUGUGCCUUUCACCUUUGAUAUUACAGUGUCCAUUUAUUACUAAGUUACUUUUGUCAACCUCUUUUCCUAAACUCCCUUCAGUGAGAAUAUAGCAUAGCAUAGAUUCAUAAUACAGUUAGAUUCUCUAGUCACUGUCUAUAUUCUGUCCUGGGACUCCCCAACCUUCUAAGUGAUUUUUAAAAAUUUGUAUAGAUCAAGGUUCAUUCUCUAUGCUGCAACUUCUAUAGGUUUUAGCAGUUGUAUAUUGUCAUGCAUUUAUCCUCACAUUAUCAUGCAGAGCCAUACAGUAUUAUAUUGUAGAAUAUCAUGCAGAUGUUAUGCAGAUAUAUGUGUUUUCUAAGUAUUUUCUCCCAAGGAGUUACUUGUCUUUCUUUAGCAUCAUUUUUUACAGAGCAUUAAGUUUUAAUUUUAAUAAAGUACAACCUAUCUAUUUAUUAUUUCAUGAAUCAUGCUCUUAGAGUUUUAUCUAAAAAACUCGUUACAAAACCCAAAGUCACAUAGAUAUUUUUCCUAUGUUUUAUUCAAGAUAUUUUAUACUUUUGCAUUUUACUUUUAGGUCUAUGAUCCAUUUUGAUUCUAUUUUUGCAUAAAAUUUCAGGUCUGGUCUAGGUUUAUUUUACUGGUGUUUGUUUCUAGUUUUCUGUAUAUAGAUCCCAUAUAUAUUUUGCUAGAUUUGUUCUUGAGUAUUUUUUUUUGCAUUACUGUAAAAAAUACUGUUUGCUUGAUUUCAAAGUCCAGUUGUUUAAAAUUGGUAUAUGGGGAAGUUAUUAAAUUUUGUAUAUUGACCUUAUAUCCUACAAUUUUGCUAUA